AUUGAACGCUGGCGGCAGGCCUAACACAUGCAAGUCGAGCGGAUGAAGGGAGCUUGCUCCUGGAUUCAGCGGCGGACGGGUGAGUAAUGCCUAGGAAUCUGCCUGGUAUUGGGGGAUAACGUCCGGAUACGGGCGCUAAUACCGCAUACGUCCUGAGGGAGAAAGUGGGGGAUCUUCGGACCUCACGCUAUCAGAUGAGCCUAGGUCGGAUUAGCUAGUUGGUGGGGUAAAGGCCUACCAAGGCGACGAUCCGUAACUGGUCUGAGAGGAUGAUCAGUCAGACUGGAACUGAGACAGGGUCCAGACUCCGAGGGGAGGAAGCAGUCGGGAAUAUUGGACAAUGGGGGAAAGCCUGAUCCAGCCAUGCCGCGUGUGUGAAGAAGGUCUUCGGAUUGUAAAGCACUUUAAGUUGGGAGGAAGUGCAGUAAGUUAAUACCUUGCUGUUUUGACGUUACCAACAGAAUAAGCACCGGCUAACUUCGUG
rnacentral:rRNA from 1 species